rnacentral:rRNA from 1 species
GAUGAACGCUGGCGGCGUGCUUAACACAUGCAAGUCGAACGGAAAGGCCCAAGCUUGCUUGGGUACUCGAGUGGCGAACGGGUGAGUAACACGUGGGUGAUCUGCCCUGCACUUCGGGAUAAGCCUGGGAAACUGGGUCUAAUACCGGAUAGGACCACAGUUUGGAUGGUGUGGUGGAAAGUUUUUCGGUGUGGGAUGAGCUCGCGGCCUAUCAGCUUGUUGGUGGGGUAAUGGCCUACCAAGGCGUCGACGGGUAGCCGGCCUGAGAGGGUGUACGGCCACAUUGGGACUGAGAUACGGCCCAGACGCCUACGGGAGGCAGCAGUGGGGAAUAUUGCACAAUGGGCGCAAGCCUGAUGCAGCGACGCCGCGUGGGGGAUGACGGCCUUCGGGUUGUAAACUCCUUUCGCUAGGGACGAAGCGUUAUGUGACGGUACCUGGAGAAGAAGCACCGGCUAACUACGUG